UACCACUAUUUUGUCGGAUGAAUGGGCAAAUGCGCUGGCAAUAGCAUAUCCCAUACCAACUCCCAUUGUUGACAUAGUGCCUGCAUCCAGUCGACCACGUGGAUGAGUUACUUCUAAAAGCUGACGGCCCCGGUCCAUUGUAUUGGCGCCUUCAGAAACCCAAGUGAUAUUACGCUUUGAUUUGAGCGAUAAGCUUUGUAGCUCCUCAUUCACGACAUACAAAGCAUAAUUCAUUUGCAACGGUAUACUGGACUUUCGAGAUUCAAGAGCCUUUUUCUCAUUCUUGGAUCGGGUUUCAUUUAACGUGCGAAGGUAAGGGGUCGAGAUGCCAACACUGUACUUCCAAGUUUGAACGAGCUUAAAAAGACAAUCUAUUGUCAGACCUACAUCAGCCCAAAUUGCUAAAUCCAAAUCUGCAGCAUUGUUUCCUAAAGUUUCAGCAUUGGUAUCAAUUUGAAUAAAUUUGGCAUUAGGAGACCACUUUGGUGGAAGACCAUAUUGAAAUAUCCAAUUUAAACGUGCCCCUGCUAAGAGCACUACAUCUGCAUUACGAAGAGCAGCUGACCUUGCCGAAGACACAUUUAAGGGAUGCGAUUCUGGUAACAAACCUUUGCCCAUGGGACUCGGAAGAAACGGAAUGCCAGUAUGUUCAACAAAUUCCAAGAGCUGUUUUUCAGCGCAGGCAUAUGCGGCACCUUUACCAACGACAAGCAGAGGUGCCUUUGCAUUUUUUAAAUAGUAUGCAGCCUUCUGAAGCUGUGUUGGAUCAGGUGCACAUUUGGGAGAACUAGGAAUUGGGGGUAGAGGGUCUUUAGGAAAGUCAUCGACAGUAGAUUCAAUAUAAUUUGCUGGCAAGUCAACAUAGCAUGUUCCAGGAGUGCCGGUCAUGGAGACACGAUACGCUCUUCGAAUGGAAUCAACAACCAUUUUGGGACUUGGGGGGCGCACGGCUAAUUUCGUAUGAGGUGAUAAGUAAGAAACCUGGUCCAAUUCUUGGAAGGCCCCACAGUUUUGCUGAAAUGUUUCACUGGAUCCAGCCAAAAGCAGCAAAGGCCAUCGAUUGGUUUUAGAAUUGAAAACACCGGCCAUGGCAUGUACAACGCCAGGACCGCCUACCACGACACAGACCCCAGGGCGCUGAGUUAAAUAGCCAUAGGCAGUCGCUGCAUAAGCUGCGCUUUGCUCAUUGCGAAACCCGACAAACCGAAUUCCACUUGCUUGGAUAGCCUCACAAAUUUCGAUUACGGGAAUGCCAACAAUGCCAAAAACAACUUUAACCUCUAAGUCCAACAAUGUCUUAGCUACCAAUUCCGAAAAGCUUAUAGACAUUGUUAUUACAAAUUAAUAUGUACCUCUAAAUUGAAUAAUAUUGUUCACCAAACAAAAGCGAUGAAAAGCUCAAUGCAAAAGAAAGACAGAAGA